AGUUAGAGGGUUUCCUUGACUGAUGGUUGCCUUUUGUCCAAUCAAGUUAUAUUAAUGCUGGAUCCGAGUAGUGUGGAAAGCAAAGGAUGAUGACAAAUUCCGUGGAAUACUUCGUUGUUCUUUGAUUUUAAGUUCUCUAAUGUUUGUUUUGUCUGUUCCUACUAUAAUUAUUUUAUGAAGCUACCUUUGAAGUUUAGUAUUUGUGGAGUCUGUAAUCAUUAUAGGAACCUGUUUGUGUGGAUGAAUUGAAUGCCUGUUACAGCCAACAUUGGUUCUAAGUUCUAACAUUAUUCUGCCAUCCCUCACCCUUUAUUUCCUUCAAAUCUUUAUUUCAUGUCCAUUCUUUUUGAAUUGAAUUGUUCCUGCUGUGGGUGAGUAAGGAUCGUGCCCAAUAUAAAUGAGAAUUUCUUCUUUUUUGUUACGGGCCUCUUCAGAUAUAGUAUUCAAAGUUCAAUUAAAAGGAAUUUUGAUUGCAUAAGGGUGAUGCAUAUUUAACUGUCCAUGCUUCUAAGCUUAAAAUCAUUUACAAGGGGGAACAUUUUCCCUAAUUUUCAACUACAAGCCCAAUAUGCCGUUUUUUUCUUUCUUUCUUGGAUCUGUUGAUUAUUUUGCUAUGGGUUUUCUCAUAUUGCCAAGAAUAGUGAAUUAUCUCAUAUAUUUUGAAUAAAGGGCAUCUUGAUAAAAUAAUAUUUUUAAAAUAAAAUAAAGAAAUAAAAUGUAAAGAGACAGAUGUAUAAGCACAAAGAAGUUUAGUUUUCCAGUAGCUAAUUAUGAAUAUUUUUUCUUCUCUUGAACAAUAUUUGCGUGACAGACAUGUCCUCAAAUAGAACCUCUAAGUCCUAACAUAAAUCGGAAAUUGAGGGUCACACUAAAGAUAUGUAACCAUUAGACGCACUACUGUUAUCCACAAAUUCCUCUGGUUGUCUCAUUUAUUUGUAAUUUUGAUAGUCAUCCCCAGUUCCUCACGCACAACACUUCCAAUUGAUCGAACUUUACAAACAUCAUAUCAACCCUGAAAAACCUAAAUUUUUAAUCCUAAUGGAUAUUUUUCCCCAUCCAUUUACAAAAGAAAAUAUGAAGGAAAAUCAGGUGCACGCAAGACUAGCCUUUGAAUAUGAGCCCUAUGCUCAGUUCAUUUAGAAUUUUGAAUGUUGGAAUAUUUUCCUCUUUUCAGAUUUGAUACUCUAUUUUGAUUAUGAUAGAACCCCUGUCACUUAUGUGGAUACUACAAGGAAGAGGUUAGGAAGAAAUAGAUUAGCAUGGGGGUAGGGGGGUUAGAAUAGGGGAUAUUGAAGAUGAUGCUUUGCUUCAUAGUGGAGGUGAACGAGUGAUUAACACGUACAUGACUGGGGAAUGAGUGAGAAUGGGGAUAUUUGGUUGUGGUAUGUAAGAAUAAAUGUGGUGAGGAAUGAGAGUAGGGCUAGGCAAUGAUUGAGUAAAGAUUUGAGGCCUUUGGGAAGGGAGGGAAGAAGAAUAUGCAACUCCUGUUUACAAAGAAAAAGAAAUCCAAGUUCAUAUCGUAGUAUUAACCUUUGAUGUUUGCUAUGGACUUCUUCAAUAAUGUUAGCUUAAAGAACAUGAUCAUGGCUAUGAUUUUGCUGCUUAAUAGAAUUUAAGCCUGCUUCAUGGGCUUGUCUAUGCAGGCAUCAAGUGUUGAUGUAGACUAAAGUCUUUCUCUAUACCAAGAAAAUGGACUGAAUGAUUGAUGGAAUGAGGUUUCUUCUUUGUUCUUGUUUGCAUCACUCACUGACUCUAAAUGCAACCUUACCUUUUCGCAGGAUGUUCAUCGAGACUUGCAAAAGACUAAAAAUCAUAAAGGGUACUGAUGCCAUUGGUUUCAGCACGUAUUCUCAUUGAUAUUCAUUUUACAGUCACUGCACUUAAUAUAGACAACUUUUCAAGUUAAUUUAUUAAUUGGGACCUUCUGCUUGCGACUGUUACCAUGUGCAGCAAGUAGCAACUUAUAAACUGCAGCAGAUUAUGAUCCUAAUGUGUUCAAAUGAAGUCACUGAAUCUUGACAAUUUCAAUGUAUGCCAUGUCAUGCUGCAGAUUAUACUGCAGCAGAUUAUGCUGACUUUUUCCAAAAAAAAAACCAGAGAGAAAUAGAAAGACCUGAUGUUAGCAACUCUAUCAAUAUAACCUUGAUUUUAAUUCAAAUUUUAACCCUCAGUAAUAUAAUCUGUACCUUCACAUAAGAUUUUAUGUGGCCACAGUUUGCUGAAGUAGAUUUUCUUUCUUCUGCAGAUCCCAGGGCCAUGGAGAAGUCGAAAAGCAGUGGUUAGGGGGUUUCCUUGACUGCAGACUGCUAUUUGUCCAAUCAAGUUCUAAUGCUGGAUCUGAGUAGUGUGAAAAGCAAAGGAUGAUGGCAAAUUCCCUGGAAUAGGUGGUUUAUCCGCACUUGGUUGUUAUUUGAUUUUAAGUCCCUGUACUGUUUGUGAUAUUUGUUACCACUAUAAUUAUUUUAUGAAGCUACCUUUGAAGUUUAGUAUUUGUGUAGUCUGUAAUCAUUAUAAGAAACCUGUUUGUGUGGAUCAAUUGAAUUCCU
rnacentral:lncRNA from 1 species